CGGACGGGUGAGUAAUGCUGGGAAACUGCCCGAUGGAGGGGGGUAACUACUGGAAACGGUAGCUAAUACCGCAUAACGUCGCAAGACCAAAGAGGGGGACCUUCGGGCCUCUUGCCAUCGGAUGUGCCCAGAUGGGAUUAGCUAGUAGGUGGGGUAACGGCUCACCUAGGCGACGAUCCCUAGCUGGUCUGAGAGGAUGACCAGCCACACUGGAACUGAGACACGGUCCAG
rnacentral:rRNA from 1 species